CACGGGUGAGUAACACGUAUGCAACCUGGCCGUGACAGAUGGAUAACCGGGAGAAAUCCCGCCUAAUACAACAUAAUGCCGGGAGGGGACAUCCCCUGCCGGUCAAAGGGGGCGACCCCGGUCACGGAUGGGCAUGCGGCGCAUUAGGUAGUUGGUGGGGCAACGGCCCACCAAGCCGACGAUGCGUAGGGGUUCUGAGAGGAAGGUCCCCCACACUGGUACUGAGACACGGACCAGACUCCUACGGAAGGCAGCAG
rnacentral:rRNA from 1 species